rnacentral:rRNA from 1 species
UAGAGUUUGAUCUGGCUCAGAUUGAACGCUGGCGGCAGGCCUAACACAUGCAAGUCGAGCGGCAGCACAAGGGAACUUGUUCCCUGGGUGGCGGGCGGCGGACGGGUGAGUAAUGGCUGGGAACCUGCCCUGAUGUGGGGGAUAACAGUUGGAAACGACUGCUAAUACCGCAUGAUGUCUACGGACCAAAGAGGAGGACCUUCGGGCUUCUCGCGUCAGGAUGGGCCCAGUUGGGAUUAGCUAGUUGGUAGGGUAAUGGCCUACCAAGGCGACGAUCCCUAGCUGGUUUGAGAGGAUGAUCAGCCACACUGGAACUGAGACACGGUCCAGACUCCUACGGGAGGCAGCAGUGGGGAAUAUUGCACAAUGGGCGCAAGCCUGAUGCAGCCAUGCCGCGUGUGUGAAGAAGGCCUUCGGGUUGUAAAGCACUUUCAGCAGUGAGGAAGGUUACGUAGUUAAUACCUGCGUGAUUUGACGUUAGCUGCAGAAGAAGCACCGGCUAACUCCGUGCCAGCAGCCGCGGUAAUACGGAGGGUGCGAGCGUUAAUCGGAAUUACUGGGCGUAAAGCGCAUGCAGGCGGUCUGUUAAGCAAGAUGUGAAAGCCCCGGGCUUAACCUGGGAACCGCAUUUUGAACUGGCAGGCU